UGCUGUUGUAUUUCUGAUAAUCAUUUCCCGACCUCCUCAGACACAACUUCUCCAUCAACUGAACCUUCAGGAUGUCCUUCUUCUUCAGACAUUUGACGCUGAUGUUUGUGCUUCUGCGUGGACUCUCAGCAGAUGAUGGUGUGUCACUAAACUGUACCCGAACAGUGGAAGUUACAUAUGAAGAGGAUCUGACUCUUAGUUGUGACAUUGAAUGGAAACAAGCUGAUUGCCAGUAUGAAAACAUUUCAGUUAAGUGGAUCCACACAACAGAAAACCUCUGUGAGAAGAACAAAUGUGAAAAAAACAAAACCUCUGCCUCACUACAAAUGUUUAAUGUCAUCGAGGAGAAGAACAUCAGCGUUAGCAUUAGAGCUAAUUGCGGCACGGAUUCUGUCAGUAUCAGCCUGAAGAUCAAACCUGAAUUUGGAGUUGAGCCGUCAAUCAGAGCCCCCGAAAAAAACCAUCAAACAACUGCAUCAACUACCGUGCGAUCAGUGAGGGAAAAAGUGAUUCCCAUCUCACUCGCUGCUGUCUCUGCAGUCAUUAUUGCAGUGGUUGGAUUUGGUUUGUAUCGAAAUAAAUCAAAGCAACAUCAGAGAGUCCUGGAAAUGGAACCGGUCUGACAGUUUCCUGACAGCUGAAAGAAAAAAAAGAGAUGAAGGAGCCCCGAUGCACGAGUGGGGCUCAAGGCAUCAUACAGACAUGUUGGACAAAUCCCGGCAGGUCAGGUUGGGUUGUCCCCAAAGUCAGGACAGAUUCCUGCAGAACACGAGGAGAAGAUGCUGAAGAAACGGCAUCUGCUGGAAGUUUUAUUUUUUAUGGUUCCAGGAUUCUUUCUACACAGACAAAAAGAGCAAAGCUUUAUUUAUGGAUUCAAGAAGAAAAGUGUUUCAGUAAACUUUUUGUUUUUAUUUUUAUAUAUUUUGUGACUCAUUUGUAUAAAUUCAGUUUUUGAAAUGUCAAAUGAUAAAAGCACGCUGUGAUCAUAUCAUUUAGGGGUUUCUUUCAUUCUGAUUAUGAUAAGGUUGGUUCUGUUUUGUGUAGUACAUUCGUGUUUUUGUGACGCCCCUUUAAAUUAAUCCAUCUGUAGAUUUUAUUCUCAAAAGUUUUUAUAGUGAAUUUUGUAUUUGCAGGCCAAGCUUUGUGGCGACAUUAAGUGGGUUUCACUGCCCUCUAGUGGUGAAUCUCAGUAGCUGCAGGGACUUUUUAAAAUAGUUAAAAUGAGCAAAUCUAUUUGAAAACGUUGAUUUGAUACCUCAAAUCUUAUAAACAAAAAAAUCGUAUUAUGUUUUGUUGAUGUUAUAUCUUUUUAUGUACAUCAUGUAAGGUUUUCUGUAUAUCAGCCGCUGGUUUUCUAAUAAAAACAUGUCAGGCCAAGAAAAGAUUGGUGGAUAACAUGAA